GCGAUGGUCACGCCGCCCAGCAGCUUGUUGAGCUCCUCGUCGUUGCGGAUGGCCAGCUGCAGGUGCCGGGGGAUGAUCCGCGUCUUCUUGUUGUCCCGCGCGGCGUUGCCAGCCAGCUCCAGGAUUUCAGCCGAGAGGUAUGCACAGGCCCGGCGAAGACGAUCUGCUCCCAGAAUAACAGCUGUGCGCCCACACAUUCUUCACGAGUGACCUGCUGAAAACAAAGGAACUUACGUCAGUGACCUAUGAAUCAAAUCUAGAAACAGGUACAUGGAGUACUGGUAUACUGCUCCAUGUCUACACAGACUCUGGAGGAGGGAACAAUAACAAAUAAAAAGCAUCCAAAAUAGUGAGAAGAGAUUUCCAAUACCCCCUUCAACUUCGGAAUUUGAAAUGCAAAGUCCUAAAAUGUGCCUAGCCAACAGAGGCCAUGAUGACAUCCACAGGAAGCUCUUCUCUACU